UGGGAGGCUGUGGUUGCUGCUGCACGCAAUGUUGAUGGUGAACAGAUCAAAACACUGACAGAAUCCAUGGCAGGCUUUUGAGUGUCCUUGCAAAGAAAGGUGGCUAUAUUGGUCACUGAUUUGUUUUUGUUUUGUUUUUGAAUGUCAGAAAUGUAUAUUUGUGAAUGUUGAGAUGUUAUAUUGGUUUCACUGGUAAUAAUAAAUAAUUGAAAUGGGUAUAUAUUUGUUUUUUGUUAAGUUGCCU